ACAAGAGAGGGGUGAUAAAUUUUUGUGCUGAAAACGAAACAAAAAACAUAAAAAGUAGAGAAGCCAAAAGGUGUUAAACAAAAAAUUCAAAAAAGUAGGAAUUUAGUCCCGCUCUAAAACAUUAUUUUUAUUGAACAAACGGAUAAUACCCUCGUAAAAGACAAACAUUAAUGAGCUUUGAGAAGAGGUCCAAAAUAUACGUGGACCAAAUCCACGAAACAAACCCAGUAAACCUUCGGAUUUAUACAAUCCUCCCAAAACAUGACGAAUACCGAUUUUGGGUUUUACAAGAGAUGCAGCAGAUUUGGAUUUGGAAUUCUCGUCCUUGGCAAAAAAGUAACGCCCGCUGUUAAUGUCAUCGGAUACUUUAUCUGUUGUUCUUAUCAUAGUUUGAAGCCUAGUCUUUGCAACGUCUAAGGGUGUUGUUAAAAAGCCGGCGCCAGCACCAGCCAAAGAACCGGUGAUGAGCUCACGAAACACACCUAUAUCUUUUUGACCACAUUCUUUUUGAGCAACUUGACGAAGCUUUUCGUAAAAUAAAAGUUGAAAUCCAGAGAAUGGAAUAUCUCGCAAAAUAGUCGCACGAUAACCAUAAAAAAAGGUUUUCAUUCCCUCUUGUUUUGCAAUCUGUUUGACGGCACCUCGAAAUGAAGGAUAAUUGUAAUUUGACUGGAAAUGGGGAUUAUUGUAGCGUCCUUGCAAUUGUAGUCUAGUUUUCAAAACCUAUGAAAAACGCUCGUUAGUAUACAACUGUUUUUCAUAAAGCAGCGGGAAACCUUUAGAAGGAUAAAAACUGGAAAUUUAUUUUCAGAAAUAUUUGGUCUUCCCACUAUAUGCAAUACUUACCUCGGAUGGGACAUAAACAACUGAAGCAAACAAAUCGCCGACAAAUCCGGCUAAUAAAAAACAAAGGGUUUCAGGAAGGUUAUAAUUACUCAUCAAAUGUCGUUUUGUAUAUUCAUAAGAGCUAAAAAACAAAGCAGUAGCCGGCAAACUGCCAAUAAGCAUGGGGCAUACUCCACUGUAAAGGCCAUGAAAAACACCUUCUUCACACAAAAUUGUGGAGUAGCAUUUUACCAUUCCGUUAUAUUUGUUCGUAUAUAGAGCCGCUUGUUGUCUUGUUUUCACGGUAUCCAAAGAAUGCAUCAAGAAAUCAGCCGUGGCUCCUCCGAUACCUCCAGCAAUCAAAACAUGACUAUAAGCUGGAGCUUUAUCAAUCAUUGGAGGUAUUCCAGGCUCCAUUGUAUUUGAUAAAAGAAUGUGAAUUAAUUCUUAGUGAAAGAGGAAAGGAAAAACGUCUAUUUUAUGAAGGAACCUGGCAGUUUUGCCUUUCUCCAGACAUGAAACUGAUCAAUUUUUAAAAUUGCUUCGCAAAGUGGUAUAAAAAACUCAAUUCUUGAUGGUUCUUUCACAGGACUUACUUGUCAGACGGAAUCCCUCCUUUUUUACCGAAGAACCCAACUUUCGAGUUUGCUCUGGUUAAGUCGCUAUUCGUACUUAAAAACCUACU